CUCAUAGCGUAUAUUAAGUUGUUGCAGUUAAAACGCUCGUAGUCGGAUUUCGGGGCGGGCUGCUCGGUCUGCCGAUGGGUAUGCACUGGGUGGCGCGUCCUUCCUUCCGGAGACCGCGCCUUCUCUUAACUGAGCGGGCGCGGGAGACGGAACGUUUACUUUGAAAAAAUCAGAGUGUUUCAAGCAGGCAUCUCGCUCUUGCAUGGAUUAGCAUGGGAUAAUGAAAUAGGACUUUGGUGCUAUUUUGUUGGUUUCGAACACCGAAGUAAUGAUUAACAGGGACAGUCAGGGGCACUCGUAUUCCGUCGAGAGAGGUGAAAUUCUCAGACCAACGGAAGACGAACCACUGCGAAAGCAUUUGCCAGGGAUGUUUUCACUGAUCAAGAACGAAAGUUAGGGGAUCGAAGACGAUCAGAUACCGUCGUAGUCUUAACCAUAAACCAUGCCGACUAGGGAUUCGAGGGUGUUCCAUCUGUGACCCCUUGAGCACCUUUCGGGAAACUAAAGUCUUUGGGUUCCGGGGGGAGUAUGGUCGCAAGGCUGAAACUUA
rnacentral:rRNA from 1 species